GUCGAGCGGACGAUACUAAUGAAGCCUUCGGGUGGAUUUAGUAUGAGUUAGCGGCGGACGGGUGAGUAACGCGUGGGCAACCUGCCCUAUACAGGAGGAUAACAACGAGAAAUCGUUGCUAAUACUGCAUAAGACCCCAGUAAGGCAUCUUACUGAGGUAAAAACUCCGGUGGUAUAGGAUGGGCCCGCGUCUGAUUAGCUAGUUGGUAAGGUAAUGGCUUACCAAGGCGACGAUCAGUAGCCGACCUGAGAGGGUGAUCGGCCACAUUGGGACUGAGACACGGCCCAAACUCCUACGGGAGGCAGCAGUGGGGAAUAUUGCACAAUGGGGGAAACCCUGAUGCAGCAACGCCGCGUGAAGGAAGAAUGUCUUCGGAUUGUAAACUUCUAUCAGCAGGGAAGAUAAUGACGGUACCUGACUAAGAAGCCCCGGCUAACUACGUGCCAGCAGCCGCGGUAAUACGUAGGGGGCAAGCGUUAUCCGGAAUUACUGGGUGUAAAGGGUGCGUAGGCGGCUAUGCAAGUCAGAUGUGAAAGCCCAGGGCUCAACCCUGGGACUGCAUUUGAAACUGUGUAGCUAGAGUGCAGGAGAGGUAAGUGGAAUUCCUAGUGUAGCGGUGAAAUGCGUAGAUAUUAGGAGGAACACCAGUGGCGAAGGCGGCUUACUGGACUGUAACUGACGCUGAGGCACGAAAGCGUGGGGAGCGAACAGGAUUAGAUACCCUGGUAGUCCACGCCGUAGACGAUGAGUGCUAGGUGUCGGGGGUCGACAGACCUUCGGUGCCGAAGUUAACACAUUAAGCACUCCACCUGGGGAGUACGAUCGCAAGAUUGAAACUCAAAGGAAUUGAC
rnacentral:rRNA from 1 species